GAUGAACGCUGGCGGCGUGCUUAACACAUGCAAGUCGAACGGAGAGUCCGGACGGUAGAUGUCGGCUGGAAGACUGAAAUUGUUAGUGGCGGACGGGUGAGCAACGCGUGGGCAACCUGCACUAUACAGGGGGUUAGCAGCUGGAAACGGCUGGUAAGACCGCAUAAGUCGUCGAGAACGCAUGGUUGUGCCGGGAAAUGAGCACUCUGGGAUAGGAUGGUCCCGCGUCAGUUUAGCAAGUUGGCGGGGUCAAAGCCUACCAAAGCAACGAUGGCUAGCCGGGCUGGGAGGUCGGACGGUCGCAUUGGGACUGCGACACGGCCCAAACUCCUACGGGAGGCAGCAGUGGGGGAUAUUACGCAAGGAAGCAUACUGUGGUGCAGCGACGCCGCGUGAGAGAAGAAGUAGGUCGGUAUGUAAUGCUCUAUCAGCAGGGGAGAUGAUGACGGUACCUGACUAAGAAGCCCCGGCUAACUACGUG
rnacentral:rRNA from 1 species